GAAGCUGGAAUCGCUAGUAAUCGCGGAUCAGAAUACCGCGGUGGAUACGUUCCCGGGUCUUGUACACACCGCCCGUCACACCAUGGGAGUCGGAAAUGCCCGAAGUCUGUGACCCAACCUUAGGGAGGGAGCAGCCGAAGGCAGGUCGGAUGACUGGGGUGAAGUCGUAACAAGGUAUC
rnacentral:rRNA from 1 species